CGCGCAGGCGCAGUCGGCCUGUGGGGGUUGGCCCCAAAGAUAUCAUUGGUUGGCCCGAGCACAGCCACACGCGCAGGCGUACUAGAGGCGCAGCAACGGAACGGAUCCGGGCUGAGGGGCGACUGCAGGAGAACACGAUGCAGUUUAUGCUGCUAUUUAGUCGUCAAGGGAAACUUCGACUGCAAAAGUGGUAUGUUCCCCUUUCAGACAAAGAGAAGAAAAAAAUUACAAGGGAGCUGGUCCAGACAGUCCUAGCACGUAAACCAAAGAUGUGCAGCUUUUUAGAAUGGAGAGACCUGAAGAUUGUGUAUAAAAGGUAUGCAAGCCUUUAUUUCUGCUGUGCUAUCGAAGACCAGGACAAUGAGCUCAUAACACUGGAGAUUAUUCAUCGUUAUGUUGAACUACUAGACAAGUAUUUUGGAAGUGUUUGUGAGCUUGACAUUAUCUUUAACUUUGAGAAGGCUUAUUUUAUCUUGGAUGAGUUCCUGUUAGGAGGGGAAGUUCAGGAGACUUCAAAGAAGAAUGUGCUGAAGGCAAUUGAACAAGCUGAUCUGUUGCAAGAGAACCAAAAUGAAGACUGGGGAAGUUUGUCAGCUGACGAUAUCUUAUGAUUGAAAGAAAUCUUAGGCUAUUGGCCUGUUAUGGCUCCCCAUCCAGACCAUUGCCACGCCACGAAUAUUUUAAUGUUCCUGUAUAUUAAUGCCGUGGCUCAUCCUACGUGGUGAAUCGGAGGAGGUGACCGUGUCUGCUUGCUGUCGGAAUGCUUUCCUGGGCUCCUAGGCUCUGUGAAGUUCACAUGAAUGUUGUACAAAUACUUAGAUGUAACGGGAACAUCAGUACUUUGUCAUCUAGCCGCCUGGUACAUGUUUGUGUUUUGCUCAUUUUAACCUUGUUCUGUGCUAUCCUAGUUCCAAUUGUAAAGCAACAUUAAUUGCAUUUGGUUUAAUGUCUCAUUGCAUGUUGAGUCUAUCUCUGUAAGGUUUAACACAGUUUUAAUGUGCACCAAGCAGGCCUGAUACUGCUAUAUUUGGACAUCUCUGAUCAUCUAAGAUUCUAAAUUUAAUACCAACUUUUUCAAACAAAAGUAUGAUACACCAUAUUCAUACAUGGUAAAUGAUGCCUGCACAAGGUCUUGCUAAUGUCAAUUAGAGCUGGUGUCCUAGACCACAAAAGUAACAAGUUAGAGUUUUGUUAAUUAUAGUUCUAUCAAUUGCGCCAUUUCUUAUUUGCCAAGAUCGAACCAGCUAGGUUAAAAGCUAAUCAAAAUUUAGGCUGGUUUAAAACUGUUUUACUCUUGACUCAUUAUAAGAUGUCUGAAAUGUUGAGUUAUAUUGCACUCCUGUCUUUUUUUUUUGAUGCUCAGAAACAGCCACUAACCUGGCUAUAUUUGAGAUUAAUGUUGCAAAAGAGCUCUAAACUGUUAAUUCCAAUCUUUCCAACACAAUCUGCACUUUUUAUUUCAUCACCCGCUGUAUUUUCACAUUCAUUGUUCAUCUGUACAGCAAAUGAGAUGCUUGCUAAUGCUAGGUUAGUUAACUCCGUGCAUAAAGGGCAGGUUCAGGGUGUUACGAGGAGCUGAAAGAUAAUUUUUAACCACAGUUUUUUUUUCAUAUCCGUGGUUUCUUCAGGGUGGAAAGGUCCAUUCUCUCAUUCCUUUUGCUCUGAUUUUUGUACUUGUCACAACUCUGCAAUUCUUCCCAUUUAAAAAAAAAACACAAGGCCAUCUCACACAUUCAGUUCUGUGCUAAGUGUUUAAGCUUGGUGUUUUGUAUGUUUGCAAUACAAAAAUAUUUAUGUUGUUGGAGAAACUAUUUUUAAAACAACUGCUUGCUCAGCACCACAGCGUACCAAUUAGCAAUACUCUGGUUCCCUCGAGUAUCAUUGUGUGUGUCUAUUAAACCACUAUCCAUGUGGUAUGUUCAGAUUAAGAGGACAGGAAUACCCAAGUCCUAUUUAUCCAAAAUGUAUGCUGCUUCCGCAGUAAUUUUUGCCACCUACAUUUUAUUCUGUGGCAUUGGUGUAAGGAGCCAUGCCAUUCAAAUUGGAUUAUAUACUAAUCUGUUUAAAUGUUAAUAACAUAAUUGUAUCCUCAUCUUUGUAAUCCCAAAGCCAUUUGAUAUUUAUUGGGUAAAAUAUAUAACUUAACAGUGUAUUUUGCUUUAAUGCAGGAGUUCUUGAAUUAUGCUGCUAGCCAUUUAGUAUUUGUAUAUUUUUUUAGUUUUCAGUUUGGUGCUGAUACUUAAUUUUUCCCUCCUUUCCUUUCUCUUCACCUUAUCAAUGUGGUUGGUAGAGGAUGUGAAUUUUCUUCCAUGGUUUGAAAAGUGGAAAUGAGUUCCAGUGAGUUGUCAUAGGCAGUUCACGAGGUUAUGUGACUGAAGCAUCAGAGAAGGAAAGUUGAAAAAUAACUAAGUGCUGAGGGAAAGGCAGAAUGGUCAAUGUUAGAGCUGUAAAAGUAAGGAUAGUUGAUUAGCUGUCAAGAACAGUAUCUCAUUGCCUAGCUCAGGCUGGAUUUCAUCUUCCAUGGUCUUUCUGGAUAGAACUGUAACUUGAGGAUUUCUGUAUUAAGUACAUUUGCGAUAAGAUUUCAAUUGAAAUAAUGUGAGAGAGAAGAUCAUUGAUUCCCCCCCCCCCCCCCCCCCCUUGCUGCUUCCUCCUUGGCCAUUUCUGUGCAGGUAGCAGCAAUUUCGACUUGAUCUGAGCAAAAGUGUUAUAUUCAAAUAUCCCAGAAAAUAUAUCACUACCCAAGUAGCAGGAAACAUUCUGGACUACUAUAUACAUUUUAUAUUAUGUAACUUAGUUAGCUGAAAUCUUUUGGUUCUUAAAUGUUGUAGUAUUGGUGUAAUUAAAUGGAUAUAAUUGCCUUUCUCAUUUUGGUGAUUUGGAAUAGAGUAAUGUAAUUCCUAUGUAAAUUUAGCCCCCCUUUUUUUAAAAACCUGACUGUGCAUCGAAUAAAUCUUUUACAUUCAUGUCUCUGAAAUUGCCAUCUAGACAUAGAAAUCAUCUAAAUACUAUUUUUUGUCUGAGUUAAUUAAAUUUACAGCCAGUUCAAAAGCAAUUAUUCCCUUCCCAAUUCGUAUUAGCUUUGUCUAACAAGUGCAGCCCCUCAGAAAAUCUAACCGUGCAUGAUUUCCUUUCUCGGAGCUGGGAUUCAGCCAACUCUGUCAACUGGUAACCCUGGAAAUGAAAACCUCAUGCAUAUUUUACUCCAUUGUACUCCCCUUACUAGGUCAAGUUAUAGCUUGCUUUUGUAUGCAUAGUUAAAGGUGAGCUGAUUCAGUCCCAUCAUUUAAAUGAGAGGAAAUAGCUUGCUAAGUCCAAAGUAACCUUGAAAAAUAUCAUUUAUUGUAGACUGCUUGUUCUCAUGAAACCUACAACUAAUUUGCACACACUAAUUUAUGUAUUUUCAGUGAUGACCAUCUAUAGUGUUUGCUAAUCGUUUGACUUUCUAAAGGCUGGUGUAGUCUUAAGUGAAGCAUUUGUUAUUUGUACUUUAUUUUAGCUUCAUUUAUUUUAUAUUUAACAGUAAGUAUUUGUACUAUGAUUGGAUCAGUAGUUUCAAGUUGCACCCUAGCAGUACUAUCUAUAUCAGUGAGAGGGAAAGAAAGAAGUACUUUAGAUAUGUUAUAAUGUACAGAGACACAUUUUAGACGGUAAUAUUCUGUUUUCAAAGUUCAAUCGUUUAAUGCCUACUUUACACUAACAUUUGUUUGCUUUUGCAGUCUGCUGUGAUUGGCUUUUGUUGCUAUGCAUUAAGCUCACUGAAAUUGUUAUUUUAUUUGUGAUUGUAAAAAGCUUGCUUUAAGUUUGUGUUCUAUUGUGUUCAAGUGCACGGUUCUGGCAUGUUAUAAAUAAAAUAUUCCUGCAUGC